GCCUGGGUGGCUCAGUCGGUUAAGCGUCCGACUUCAGCUCAGGUCGUGAUCUCGCGGUCCAUGGGUUCGAGCCCCAUGUCAGGCU
rfam:Felis catus isolate Cinnamon breed Abyssinian chromosome B4, whole genome shotgun sequence.